rnacentral:rRNA from 1 species
AACGAACGCUGGCGGCAUGCUUAACACAUGCAAGUUGAACGCAGAAUAGGGCUUCGGCUCUAUUGCUGAGUAGCAAACGGGUGAGUAACGCGUGGGAAUCUACCUUCUUGUGGGGGAUAACUAAGGGAAACUUUAGCUAAUACCGCAUACGCUCUACGGAGGAAAGGCUUCGGCCGCAAGAAGAGGAGCCCGCGUCAGAUUAGGUAGUUGGUGGGGUAAAAGCCUACCAAGCCAAUGAUCUGUAGCUGGUCUGAGAGGAUGAUCAGCCACACUGGGACUGAGACACGGCCCAGACUCCUACGGGAGGCAGCAGUGGGGAAUAUUGGACAAUGGCGGAGACCCUGAUCCAGCAAUGCCGCGUGAAUGAAGAAGGCCUUAGGGUUGUAAAGUUCUUUCACCUGUGAAGAUAAUGACGGUAGCAGGAGAAGAAGCCCCGGCUAACUCCGUGCCAGCCGCCGCUGUAA